UUUGGGGUACCAGUAGGGGUUAGAGAACAGGUCAGUUUGGGGUACCAGUAGAGAAGUAGAGAACAGGUCAGAUUGGGGUACCAGUAGGGGUUAGAGAACAGGUCAGUUUGGGGUACCAGUAGAGAGGUAGAGACAGGUCAGUUUGGGGUACCAGUAGGGGUUAGAGAACAGGUCAGUUUGGGGUACCAGUAGAGAGGUAGAGACAGGUCAGUUUGGGGUACCAGUAGGGGUUAGAGAACAGGUCAGUUUGGGGUACCAGUAGGGAGGUAGAGAACAGGUCAGUUUGGGGUACCAGUAGAGAGGUAGAGACAGGUCAGUUUGGGGUACCAGUAGGGGUUAGAGAACAGGUCAGUUUGGGGUACCAGUAGAGAAGUAGAGAACAGGUCAGAUUGGGGUACCAGUAGGGGUUAGAGAACAGGUCAGUUUGGGGUACCAGUAGAGAGGUAGAGACAGGUCAGUUUGGGGUACCAGUAGGGGUUAGAGAACAGGUCAGUUUGGGGUACCAGUAGGGAGGUAGAGAACAGGUCAGUUUGGGGUACCAGUAGGGGUUAGAGAACAGGUC